AUGUUUUCGCAGGGCGCCGCCGACGUUCCGUGCACUCUCCUCCACUUCGUGAACAACGAGUUGGUCGAUGUCGCCAAGGGCAAAAUCGUUCAACCAGGCAACCCCUUGUUCCACGGUACCCAGAUGCCACCCAACUUGUUUAGGGUUCAACUGGUUCGGGUGCUGCCAGGCUGCGACGACUUGUUACCUCCGAUUCGACCCGUCGGGGCCGACGAUGAUGACGUGAUGACCCUCAGCGCCUGCCUGAGCUGGCCCCUGCUUUGGCCGAAGAGCCAGAUUCGUUUGGGGGCGGGGGACACCACCCCAAAGACAACACCGCCAGUCGUGCCGGCGCCAAGUCGGCCCCAUGGCAAGACCGCCGUAUCGGUGCCGGACAUCCCUAUGCCACUGGAUCCAAACAUGCAUAUGGCACAGGAUCAGAACGACGACGAUGACGACGAUGAUACAUUUGGCAACGUCGAUCAGUACUUUGCCGAGCAUGGGUACGAUGGCGACUUCAUGGGGCCUCCUUCUCAAGAACCAAACCCAACAAAAGACGUGUGCGAUCUAGCUCGUACCGCGGAGAAGCCAAGUUGCAACAGGCGUCGUCUGGCGUUCAGCUCUCAGGAGACGCCUCCAGCUGCCGACUUCACCGAGCCUCAGAUAGGCGAGGUGCGAAAUAUUAUCAGCCCCAACACACUCAAGAAGGCGGUCUGUGAGCAGAACUCGGUCCCAUUACAGGAGAAGAAGAAGGCACGCAAAAGAAAGACUAAGAAGGGUGCGAGCCAGCCGACACCGAGUACGAUCCGUGCUCAGGACGGGCCACCUUCACCGCAGGAUAUCUCGAGGAGGGUGCAUGUGGCGGGUAGGGCGAUGCUACCACCAAAUAUGCUCAAUGCUGCAACCGGUGCUAUGCGGAGUCUGCACGACAGUGUUCUUUCUUUGGAGAAGCGGCGUCUCAGAGAGAAGGAUGUGGCAUACCCGGUUUUCGUGGCCAAGGUGCCAGAGGGCAAGGGCUUUGUGGAUGGCGACAUCGGGGGUACGAUCGUCCUGCGGUUUGAUGACAUCUUUGCUAUCUUUAACCUUCAUCCGCUGCACUACACCUUCGUUCGGCUAUUUUUGCUGAGUAUGGAGAUGCGGAUCAUUCGCGACAAGACCCCGGACAUCGUGAUAGUCGACCCCUUCUACAUGCGUGCCAAGAUCUUGGGCAGCGCUGGGGACCGGCAAGUCGCGAGUUCUUACCUCGAAGGCGUCAUUCUGGCAAACCAAGAUAAUGAUAACUUCCUCGUGCCUUACUUUCCCGAGUAA
rnacentral:rRNA from 1 species